UACGUAGGGGGCAAGCGUUGUCCGGAUUUAUUGGGCGUAAAGAGCGUGUAGGCGGCCAGACAGGUCCGUUGUGAAAACUCGAGGCUCAACCUCGAGAUGUCGAUGGAAACCGUCUGGCUAGAGUCCGGAAGAGGAGUGUGGAAUUCCAGGUGUAGCGGUGAAAUGCGUAGAGAUCUGGAGGAACACCGAUGGCGAAGGCAGCCUUCUGGGCCAACACUGACGCUCAUGCACGAAAGCGUGGGGAGCAAACAGG
rnacentral:rRNA from 1 species